rnacentral:rRNA from 1 species
GGAGGCUACUGCUAUUGGGAUUCGACUAAGCCAUGCGAGUCGAGAGGGUUCGGCCCUCGGCAGACGGCUCAGUAACACGUGGAUAAUCUGCCCUUAGGUGGAGGAUAAUCUCGGGAAACUGAGAAUAAUACUCCAUAGGUCUAGGAUGCUGGAAUGCACUUAGACUCAAAGUUCCGACGCCUAAGGAUGAGUCUGCGGACUAUCAGGUUGUAGUCAGGGUAAUGACCUGACUAGCCCACGACGGAUAUGGGUUGUGAGAGCAAUAACCCAGAGAUGAUAUCUGAGACACGAUAUCAGGCCCUACGGGGCGCAGCAGGCGCGAAAACUUCACAAUGUGCGAAAGCGCGAUGAGGGAAUCCCAAGUGCUUGCACGUAAGUGUAAGCUGUUUCUAUGUUUAAAAUGCAUAGAGAGUAAGGGCUGGGUAAGACGGGUGC